rnacentral:rRNA from 1 species
UACGAAGGGGGCUAGCGUUGUUCGGAAUUACUGGGCGUAAAGCGCGCGCAGGCGGUUCUUCAAGUCAGAGGUGAAAGCCCAGAGCUCCAACUCUGGAAUGGCCUUUGAGACUAGAGAACUUGGGUACGGGAGAGGUGAGUGGAAUUCCGAGUGUAGAGGUGAAAUUCGUAGAUAUCGGAAGACACCAGUGGCGAAGGCGGCUCACUGGCCCGUUACCGACGCUCAGGCGCGACAGCGUGGGGAGCAACAGG